rnacentral:rRNA from 1 species
UACGUAGGGUCCGAGCGUUGUCCGGAAUUACUGGGCGUAAAGAGCUCGUAGGUGGUUUGUCGCGUUGUUCGUGAAAACUCACAGCUCAACUGUGGGCGUGCGGGCGAUACGGGCAGACUUGAGUACUGCAGGGGACACUGGAAUUCCUGGUGUAGCGGUGGAAUGCGCAGAUAUCAGGAGGAACACCGGUGGCGAAGGCGGGUCUCUGGGCAGUAACUGACGCUGAGGAGCGAAAGCGUGGGGAGCGAACAGG